rnacentral:rRNA from 1 species
AACGUAGGAGGCAAGCGUUAUCCGGAAUUACUGGGCGUAAAGGGCGUCUAGGCGGCGGUACAAGCGCGAUGUGAAAGCUCCUGGCUCAACUGGGAGAGUGCGUAGCGAACUGUGCAGCUAGAGGCCAGGCGAUGGGGGUGGAAUUCCCGGUGGAGUGGUGAAAUGCGUAGAGAUCGGGAGGAACACCAGUGGCGCAAGCGGCCCCCAAGCCUGAACCUGACGCUGAAGCGCGACAGCGUGGGGAGCAAACGGGAUUAGAUACCCCGGUAGUCCACGCCAUAAACGAUGGUGACUAGGUGUGGGGGCUGGUACACAGCCCUCGUGCCGUAGCUAACGCGAUAAGUCACCCGCCUGGGGAGUACGGCCGCAAGGCUAAA